CCUACGGGUGCUGCAGUGGGGAAUAUUGGACAAUGGGCGAAAGCCUGAUCCAGCCAUGCCGCGUGUGUGAAGAAGGCCUUCGGGUUGUAAAGCACUUUCAGUGGGGAAGAAAGCCUUGGGGCUAAUACCCUCGAGGAAGGACAUCACCCACAGAAGAAGCACCGGCUAACUCCGUGCCAGCAGCCGCGGUAAUACGGAGGGUGCGAGCGUUAAUCGGAAUUACUGGGCGUAAAGCGCGCGUAGGCGGUCUGAUAAGCCGGUUGUGAAAGCCCCGGGCUCAACCUGGGAACGGCAUCCGGAACUGUCAGGCUAGAGGGCAGGAGAGGAAGGUAGAAUUCCCGGUGUAGCGGUGAAAUGCGUAGAGAUCGGGAGGAAUACCAGUGGCGAAGGCGGCCUUCUGGACUGACACUGACGCUGAGGUGCGAAAGCGUGGGUAGCAAACAGGAUUAGAUACCCGAGUAGUC
rnacentral:rRNA from 1 species